UUAGUUAGUUGUGCCCUUUUCUUUUAGUAAGACGCCGUGAUCCAUUAGAAAUUGGUAGACAUCAGUMUAUAUUGGGUCAUCMAUGAGSUCAUAUGAARUUUAUUGGAACMAAUGGSAAAAUCUUUCAACGGUUUUGUGUAUUGUCUGAUAAGCAURUGAGUACUCGCAAUGRCUGUCUGAUGGAUUUUAARGAUUAUAUCAUUGAUGUUACGGCAUCACUUGSUUCGGCGAGUUUAAUAUAUAUCCGAUCAACGGCGGUAAAAUUUGAKAUACCUUUUGGACCCGUCUUGAAACACGGACCAAGGAGUCUAUCUAAUGUGUGAGUAAAUGARUAGWUUAUKAAAYUUAUUUGCGUAAUAAACGUAACUAUUUAAUGGGAUUACGAKKUUAUAUUAHASUAAGCUYUUCCAUCCCGGAGUAUUUUCAUCCACAUAUACGCAAGUAUAUGGAAAAUAUAUCAUGAACAYAUUGGAUACGACCCGAAAGAUGGUGAACUAUGCUUGAUCAGGUCGAAGUCAGGGGAAACCCUGAUGGAGGACCGAAGCAGUUCUGACGUGCAAAUCGAUUGUCAAAAUUGAACAUGGGGGCAAAAGACCAACCCACACCAUC
rnacentral:rRNA from 1 species